rnacentral:rRNA from 1 species
UCUGCAACCCGACUCCAUGAAGCUGGAUUCGCUAGUAAUCGCGCAUCAGCCACGGCGCGGUGAAUACGUUCCCGGGCCUUGUACACACCGCCCGUCAAGCCAUGGAAGCCGGGAGUGCCUGAAGUGCGUGACCGCAAGGAGCGUCCUAAGGCAAUACCGGUGACUGGGGCUAAGUCGUAACAAGGUAAC